AAUUCCUCUCAAAACAAAAAAAUAUAUAUGGGGGGGGGGCGGCUGGGGAUGUAGCCAGGGCCUGGGUUAAACCCCCACUACAGCCCCUACCAUAAACCAAAGAAGCAACAGAAGCCAGAGGAGGGAAGGCACCCAGGAAGCCAGGCUUUCCAAAUUCUAGGAGGCAAAGGAGCCUGGGAAGCUCACACCGCCCCCUCCCCCAGCUUCACACCAGGGCACCCUGGGGAUGAAUUCCCAGGGUUUGCCCAGGAACCCACAUCUGGUCAGUCCUGGGAUCCUCUGAGGCCUCACUUUAGGUGAGAUCAGCUGGGGUCUUCUAACAGAACCCUUUGGGUGCAGGCCCUGUUUUGGGAUGACAUCCCCUCCCUCAUCCAGAGAUCCUUAACUUUUUCCUCACUUAGGAGAACAAAACAAAACAAAAUACACCUUUGUUUUUGUACCAAGGAUGGAACUUAAGACCUAGUGUUUGCCAGAAAUUCCUUAGAUUCACAGCACAUUUUACAAGCUGGGUGCAGUGGACCUGUGAGCACUCUGGAGGCUGAGGCAGGAGCAUCACCACGGGUCAAGGGCAGGCUCUGCUCCAUGAUGCGUUCAAAGCCAGCCUAGAACACAUGGGAAGACUUUGUUUCAAGAAACUACCACCAACGAUUUGUUUCUUUAUGGAUGGCCCACAUUUGAAGGGUUUCCAUCUUUGGUCCUUUGUGACUAAUGCUGCUGUGAGUUAUCCGUGUAUAAUUCUGUAGGUCAACUUGCUUCCUUCCACUUAUCUUGGGUGUAAACCUUCAAAUGGAAUUUCUGGGCUAUAUAGUAACUCCAUAUUUAACUUUUUUUUUUGUCUUUUUCGUUUUUACUGGUACCAGGGAUCCAACUCACGACUGCCUGCUUGCAAGGCAGGCACUAAUGCCGCUGAGCUAAAUCCCCAGCCCCGCAUAUUUAACUUUUUGACGAUGUAUCUGAGCGUUUGACAACUGUACAAUACUGUGUAACAUUAGGUUCAUGCCCAAACUGUGACAAAUCUUUAAAUUAAACAUGUAUUACAGUGAAA